ACACAACAUUGAAACCAUAAGCAGACAGAUCUGAUGGAUGCGGGGUUAAGUAAGGGAAUGUCUCGGCACAGAAGUUGCACUUCUAACCCCAGCUCUUCAAACGUGGAGGCAGAUAAAAGUUCAAGGACAUCCUCAGCUACAUAGUGAGUUUGAGGUUAGCCUGGGUAGCAAACCCUGUCUCAAAAAGAGGAGAGCAGCUGAGGGUAUACUUGUUCCCAGGCAGAAACAGCUGGGAGUCAGAGGUGGCCACUGUGUGGAAGGUCUACCACAAAAGCAAUCUGCAUUGCUCUGAGAGCGGCACCUCAGCCUCACCAAAAAGAUCUGGCUGUACACACUAGAACCUGACACCCCAAGUCAGGCCUGCUGAGUAUAUGGCCCCCACUGUCUACAUCACCACCAAAAUAGGGUACCCUGAGAGAUACCCAGGUGUUUCACAUCUCCUACUGGGCUACCAAACUCCCCUGCCUGAGCCUCGGUUCUCAAUGAAGACCGCAAGAGGAUCUUAAAAACCAAUACAAACAAAAGCCCAUUGAAACUAGGGCCUGUGCCCACAACAGCCAUGCCAGCCUCCUGGCUCUCCUCAAACACUGCCCAGGGACCCCUCUCCUGUUGCCCUAUGGCAGAUUCUAAUACUGCUUUAGCACUGUGGCACAGCUAAGCACAGAGACAUCUUGUCCCCAGCCCCCCUCCUGUCCUGAGAGCAGGGGAGUGGGCGGGAGCUGGCUGCAAAGAGGCGGGGGAGGUCUCAGCACAGGGCCCAGCUGACUCACCAGGGACUUUUCAGGCAGUGAAACUAUUUUGUAUAUUUUCUGGCAGACUCACAAUACUAUGCACUGGAGAGAAUAUAUGCACUGGGGCUGGAGAGAGGGUAUUGUCCAAAGCCCUGGAUGCUGUUGCAGAGAACGGAGGUUGGGUUUCCAGCAUUCACAUGGUGGCUCAUAAUCAUCAGUAACUCUAGUUCCAGGGGACCUGACACACUCUUUAGACCUCUGCAGGCACCAGGCACACAUGUGAUACACAUAUAUAAACACAGGCAAAACACACAUAAAAUUAAAAACUCUAAAAAAAGAAAAAAAUUAACUCCAAAUCCAGUAUAUCUGAUGGUUUCCCCUGGCCUUUAUGGGAGCUAUACAUACUUGCAUAUACAUAAUGCAGAUAUAUAUAAAUUAAAACAUACAUCUUUAAAGUCACUUAGGUCAGGGGUUAAGAUGGAAUGCAGAGUCCAACUGACUUAUAAAUGCAUCUCUAGAGGGUGGGUGGUGCUGAGCAGCACCGCUGGAAACACGUGGAGUCUACAGCUACAGGCACAGGCCCUGUGCUCUGGUGUAAGUAGCUAUGACCCACAGGGAAGCAGUAACUCUCCACGUGCGGAAGUGGACAGGGUGACGAAUAAGGGAUAGUAGGUGGGCAAAGCUGGAAUGACCGCUGACGAUGGAGAAAAGCUGGGCAUGUCAGGACUCAUGCUGAACUUACUGGGGACAGAUGGUCGUGUUCAGGCAUUGCUCAGGACCCCCCCCCCCAUGCUGCACAGCGAUCUCUACCAACUGACAGACUACAUGGUGUGAUGGAGGCCCACCAGACAGCAUCACUUAGUGUCACAGGCACCAACGGGCAUACAGUCUAGGACACUUGCAGAGCAGAACUGCCCUCCACUGCUUUGUCUACCAGGCAAAGAUGAACGACUCCUUCCACCCCACCCCCAUGAUCUUGCUUUCUAACACUAAGCCAACAAAAGGAAGCAGAUGUCUUGGAGCAACACCCGAGGGUUGAGAGCAGGACACCCUCCAGAUGAGCCUGGAGUACUUCACAGCACCAGAAAGCAAGGGGGUGCUGAGAACUUGUGAUAGGACCGCAUCAGCAGGACAACAGUCGGUCCCAGCAACAAGGUACAGAAAGACUGGAUCACACAGGUUUGUCCUCACAGACAAACACUUCUUUCUGUAGACAGAGACCAUCUCCUAAGUGGAUGUCUGUAGAUCUCUGCCUUCAGACUGGAGGGGGCUGACUGCACCUCAAUCCUUAGAUAUGGGCUGCACGUGGCAAUUUCCUUCCAAAAAGUAAAUUAUUCGGGGGAAGAGCAGCAAAUUUAUAGUGGGAAAAGCUGAUAAACACUACCUCUGUGGUGUGGCCAACAGCAACAUUAACAGCUGUAAGCUGGAAUGUGGCAGGGCUUGCCUAGCAUAAGAGGCCACGCUUCCAUCCCCAGCACCACAAAAACAAACAAGACUCCAACAACCACUGCCACAACUCUGAAUAGCAGCAGAGAGCCAGGUCAGUUGUCCGCACUGUAGCAGCAGAGAGCCAGGUCAGUUGUCUGCACUGUAGCAGCAGAGAGCCAGGUCAGUUGUCUGCACUGUCCAGCCUGGACACCGUCCAGCAGCUCCAGUCCAAUCACAUAAAGAACACCAGUCAAAUCUCAACUGUGAGAUCUCAUACAGGUGCCAAGCCAAGUAAAGUCUGAGAAACUCUCAGUCAAUGGAGGCCAAGGCCACAUGAUGACUGAACACGCUGUGGGGCUCUGUGCUGAACUCUCAACAGGAAGAAGGGAGGGAAUAGAAGGCGAGGACCCCGAGAGAGGAGGAAAGCUAGCUACCAACAGUAGGCAGACCAGGGUGUUAAACAGGGUACACGAGGCCCCUAACUUUCAGUGAAUCUAGGCUGUAGGUGCAGCUCAGAGGACAGUGCUGGAUUGGUAUGCACAAGUCCCUGGGUUCAAGCCUAUUAACACAUAAAACAAAGCAUAUUUAGAGAAAGCUGAAAAGCUGGGUGGCAGUAGUGGUGCAUGCCUUUAAUCUCAGCAUUCGGGAAGCAGAAGUCUACAGAGUGAGUUCCAGGACAGCCAGGGCUACAAAGACAAACCCUGUCACACACACACAAAAAAAAAAAAAAAAAAAAAAAAAAAAAAAAAAAAAAAAAAAAAAAAAAAAAAAAAAAAAAAAAAAAAGAGAAAAGAAAGAA